UUAGUUUGGCUUGGUUUGGUUUGGAAAGGUUCAGUUCAGUUUGAAACAGAAACGUAAAAGCAAUUAAAAGAAGUCUGAAAUAGACAGGAAAAAGUAGAAAAGAAUUAAAA